AUUAUGACGUGCUUGCACUGAAUGAGAUUUUAACACGAAGUGAGUGGCGGACGGGUGAGUAACACGUGGGUAACCUGCCCAGAAGCAGGGGAUAACACCUGGAAACAGAUGCUAAUACCGUAUAACAGAGAAAACCGCCUGGUUUUCUUUUAAAAGAUGGCUCUGCUAUCACUUCUGGAUGGACCCGCGGCGCAUUAGCUAGUUGGUGAGGUAACGGCUCACCAAGGCGAUGAUGCGUAGCCGACCUGAGAGGGUAAUCGGCCACAUUGGGACUGAGACACGGCCCACACUCCUACGGGAGGCAGCAGUAGGGAAUCUUCCACAAUGGACGCAAGUCUGAUGGAGCAACGCCGCGUGAGUGAAGAAGGGUUUCGGCUCGUAAAGCUCUGUUGUUAAAGAAGAACGUGGGUGAGAGUAACUGUUCACCCAGUGACGGUAUUUAACCAGAAAGCCACGGCUAACUACGUGCCAGCAGCCGCGGUAAUACGUAGGUGGCAAGCGUUAUCCGGAUUUAUUGGGCGUAAAGCGAGCGCAGGCGGUCUUUUAAGUCUAAUGUGAAAGCCUUCGGCUCAACCGAAGAAGUGCAUUGGAAACUGGGAGACUUGAGUGCAGAAGAGGACAGUGGAACUCCAUGUGUAGCGGUGAAAUGCGUAGAUAUAUGGAAGAACACCAGUGGCGAAGGCGGCUGUCUGGUCUGUAACUGACGCUGAGGCUCGAAAGCAUGGGUAGCGAACAAGAUUAGAUACCCUGGUACUCCAUGCCGUAAACGAUGAUUACUGAGUGUUGGAGGGUUUCCCCCC
rnacentral:rRNA from 1 species